rnacentral:rRNA from 1 species
GAGACUCUGUGCGCGUGCAUAUCAAUAAGCGGAGGAAAAGAAACUAACAAGGAUUCCCCUAGUAACGGCGAGUGAAGCGGGAAGAGCUCAAAUUUGAAAUCUUCAAGGUUUUCCCUUGACGAAUUGUAGUUUAAAGAAGUGUUUUCUGUUAGAGUUUCGGUAAAAGUUCUUUGGAAUAGGACAUCAUAGAGGGUGAGAAUCCCGUAUUUGACCGUUAUUUCUAGCUGUGUGAUACACUUUCAAAGAGUCGGAUUGUUUGGGAAUGCAGUCCAAGAUGGGUGGUAAAUUUCAUCUAAAGCUAAAUAUUGGCGAGAGACCGAUAGCGAACAAGUACCUGUGAGGGAAAGAUGAAAAGAACCUUGAAAAGAGAGUUAAACAGUACGUGAAAUUGUCAAAAGGGAAGCGUUUGACACCAGUGUUGUUUAGUUGAAAAUCAAUUAACUAAUUUUUGAUUUUGAAGUAGUAUUGACUUUAUCAGCUUGCUGAUUUUCUUUUCGGAAAUUAUUGAAUGCACUUUUCAGUUAACAAGUCAACAUCAAUUUCUUUUGUUGUAAAAGGGUAAGAGGAAGGUGGCUUAUGCUUCGGUAUAAGUGUUUAUAGCCUUUUACCUCUGCAAUCGGAGAGAUUGAGGUACAUGCAGCGUAGACUCCUUCGGGGGUUAGAUACAUUUGUGCUAAGUUAUAGUAUUUUAUAGACAACUUGUUGACUAUGAUUUAUCAUGUGGCUUACUCGCUUAUGCUAUUUUACCUACGCUUAGGAUGUUGACGAUCAGCUGAGCGCGG